AAUGGUCGGUACAAAGGGUUGCCAAGCCGCGAGGUGGAGCUAAUCCCAUAAACCGAUCGUAGUCCGGAUCGCAGUCUGCAACUCGACUGCGUGAAGUCGGAAUCGCUAGUAAUCGUGAAUCAGAAUGUCACGGUGAAUACGUUCCCGGGCCUU
rnacentral:rRNA from 1 species